GCGUGCGGACGGGUGAGUAACACUGUGGGCAACCUACCUUAUAGUAGGGAUAAACUCCGGGAAACCCGGGGCUAAUUACCCGAAUUAAUACUGAUUUUACGUAUCCAUGGUUGAACAUACUUGAAAGACCGGUUUCUGCGUCUCGGUCGCUUAUACACGAUAGUGGCCACUUGCGGCUGCCAUAUAAGCUAGGUUUAGAGCUUGAAGUGUAACUGNGGCNUCAAC
rnacentral:rRNA from 1 species